GUCUGAACUGAAGCCCCAAGGAUGCAGAUCUAAUGUCCCAGUUACCCUCGAACCACCCCCAUCCCACCCCACUCCAUCCCACCAAAUUCUUUCACUUGAGUUUUCCACCAAGUUCGCAUUAUGUGUGAGAGUUCCAGCUCACCACUGGGUAACUAAUGCUAAAUCUGAAGCUGGACGUGGAGGGUUUCUGUCUUCCCAGGAGGUUCGUCAGUUUGAAUGAAGGGCUCUAAGCUGCUUGCAGUCACUUACUUCCAACCUAAAAGGAAAGAUGCAUGCUCCAUUAUGCUGCCAAUCUGAGACCUGAGGAGAAGUGAGAGAGGAAAAUGAAGCUGGCCCUGGAAAGAAGUCUGUGAGAUGGAAGCACACUCCUAUUUCCAGAAGGCAAUGGUCCUCAUCAAAGCAGAAAAAAU
rnacentral:lncRNA from 1 species